GGUGCUCACUUUGGCAAUCCAUAUACUAAAAUUGGAAUGAUACAGAGAAGAUUAGCAUGGCCCCAGUAUAAGUAUGACACACAAAUUUAGGAAGCGUUCCAUAUUUUU
ensembl:snRNA U6 U6 spliceosomal RNA